rnacentral:rRNA from 1 species
UACGUAGGCAGCAAGCGUUGUUCGGAGUUACUGGGCGUAAAGGGUGUGUAGGCGGUUGUUUAAGUUUGGUGUGAAAUCUCCCGGCUCAACUGGGAGGGUGCGCCGAAUACUGAAUGACUAGAGUGCGGGAGAGGAAAGUGGAAUUCCUGGUGUAGCGGUGAAAUGCGUAGAUAUCAGGAGGAACACCGGUGGUGUAGACGGCUUUCUGGACCGUAACUGACGCUGAGGUGCGAAAGCGUGGGGAGCGAACAGG